CGCGCAGGAACUCUGUCAAGCUUUCGAGCGAGGGAAACAAGCCAAAUCGCUGUGCAUAUGGAUUGGGCAAAUCUGAUACUCGAUUUCCUAAAAGUUUGGACAGGAAGGGUGGAUGAGAUAAAUGGAGAGGUGAUGAAGAAGAGGAGAGGGGAGCAGCGCUGCAGCACAUCCUGUGCUGAUCAAUACCGGAGCACUAAACCUGAUGAGGGCCACGCGGCCACUAUACACCAACACCCACAGAGAGCAUGACCGCACGUGUGAGAGUGGUAGACCAGAGAAAAUAAAAGUGAAGUGU